rnacentral:rRNA from 1 species
CCUACGGGAGGCAGCAGUGGGGAAUAUUGCACAAUGGGCGCAAGCCUGAUGCAGCCAUGCCGCGUGUGUGAAGAAGGCCUUCGGGUUGUAAAGCGCUUUCAGCGGGGAGGAAGGCGUUAAGGUUAAUAACCUUGGCGAUUGACGUUACCCGCAGAAGAAGCACCGGCUAACUCCGUGCCAGCAGCCGCGGUAAUACGGAGGGUGCAAGCGUUAAUCGGAAUUACUGGGCGUAAAGCGCACGCAGGCGGUCUGUCAAGUCGGAUGUGAAAUCCCCGGGCUCAACCUGGGAACUGCAUUCGAAACUGGCAGGCUAGAGUCUUGUAGAGGGGGGGAGAAUUCCAGGUGUAGCGGUGAAAUGCGUAGAGAUCUGGAGGAAUACCGGUGGCGAAGGCGGCCCCCUGGACAAAGACUGACGCUCAGGUGCGAAAGCGUGGGGAGCAAACAGGAUUAAUACCCGGGUAGUC